rnacentral:rRNA from 1 species
UACAGAGGGGGCAAGCGUUGUUCGGAAUUACUGGGCGUAAAGAGCUCGUAGGCGGUUUGUCGCGUCUGCUGUGAAAACUGGGGGCUCAACCCCCAGCCUGCAGUGGGUACGGGCAGACUAGAGUGCGGUAGGGGAGAUUGGAAUUCCUGGUGUAGCGGUGGAAUGCGCAGAUAUCAGGAGGAACACCGAUGGCGAAGGCAGAUCUCUGGGCCGUAACUGACGCUGAGGAGCGAAAGCAUGGGGAGCGAACAGG